GAUGAAGAACGUAGCGAAAUGCGAUAAGUAAUGUGAAUUGCAGAAUUCAGUGAAUCAUCGAAUCUUUGAACGCACAUUGCGCCCGCCAGCAUUCUGGCGGGCAUGCCUGUUCGAGCGUCAUUUCAACCCUCGACCUCCCCUUGGGGAGGUCGGCGUUGGGGACCGGCAGCACACCGCCGGCCCUGAAAUGGAGUGGCGGCCCGUCCGCGGCGACCUCUGCGCAGUAAUACAGCUCGCACCGGGACCCCGACGCGGCCACGCCGUAAAACACCCAACUUCUGAACGUUGACCUCGAAUCAGGUAGGACUACCCGCUGAACUUAAGCAUAUCAAUAACGGAGGA
rnacentral:misc_RNA from 1 species